GAGACUAUACUUUCAGGAAUAAUUCUAUAGUUUUUUUACUAGAGAACUGUUUCUGAUUGUAAAACACCCCAAAUCACAAAAAGGAGCCAGGGCCUCCUCUCCUGAGUGAAAAGAGGUUCUAGGUGUUGCUUUUGAAACUUUAUUUUACCAUUGAUGCUCAUUUUUCUUUUCCUUUGGAAGAGGGAGAGGGAGAGGAUACAGUCUGAGUGU
rnacentral:snoRNA from 1 species